UUUUUUUUUUUUUCUUUUUUUCCAGAGAAGGGUGACUGUCUUGCAACUUUUAGUCAAAUGAGAGCAAUAUGAGAAAAAUGCGAUAUAUGUGCUGAUUUUAAUUUCUCAUUCAACACUCCAUUUUGAUUUGUCUUCUGAAGUGUUGACCAUGAUAUUUACACGUCAAUGUCAUGCUGAUUUCAUUUUACUAGUGUGGGAUACAUUUAUAAUUUUACUUUUCAUAGUGACAUGAACAAAAUCAUUGAUAAAUAUUAACCAAACACAUCCACCUCCAGGUUGGACAUAAACAGGAAAAUAUCUUCAAUCCCUCCUCUCCCCCAAAAUCCAAAUCAGUUAUCCACUGUACCAUCUGGUUGAUAGUGAAUGGUUUAUUCAAAAAUAGAUGAAAGAUAUGGGAGUGCAGACAUCUCUUCAACAUAUUGAUUUCUAUUCAUUUGGAUAUAUACCCAGAAGAAAGAUUGCUGGGAUUGUAUAGUAAUUCUACUUUUAGUUUUUUGAGGAGCUUUCAUACUGUCUCCUACAAAUGGUUAUCCCACUUGACAACUGCAACCACACUGUGUAAAGUGUUGCCUUUUCUCCACAGCCUCACUAAUACUUAUCUCUGUUUUUGUUGUUUUGAUAACAGCCAGUCUAUAAGUGUGAAGUGAUAUCUUACUGUGGUUUUAAUUUGCAUCUCCCUGAUGAUUAGUGACUCUGAGCAUGUUUUCAUAUGCUGUCGUCCGUUUGCAUGUCUUCUUUUGCAGCGUUAUUUACAACAGUCAAUAUAUGGAAUCAAUCUAAGUGUUCAUUGAUAGAUGAAUGAGUUUUAAAAACGUGGUACAUAUACACAGUGAAAUACUAUUCAGCCUUAAAAGAAACAUAAAUUCUGCUACUUGUGACAAUAUGGAUGAAUCUGGGGGGCAUUAUGCUAAGUGAAAUAAGCCAAGCACAGAAAAACAAAUACUGCAAGAUCUCAUUUAAAUGUGGAAUCUAAAAAAGUAAAACUUCUAGAAGUAGGCUGGACACAGUGGCUCACGCCUGUAAUCCCAGCACUUCGGGAGGCUGAGGCGAGCAGAUCACAAGGUCAGGAGAUUGAGACCACGGUGAAACCCUGUCUCUACUAAAAAUACAAAAAAUUAGCCGGGUACGGUGGCGGGUACCUGUAGUCCCAGCUACUCAGGAGGCUGAGGCAGGAGAAUGACGUGAACCUGAGAGGCAGAGCUUGCAGUGAGCCGAGAUUGCGCCACUGCACUCCAGCCUGGGCGACAGAGCCAGACUCCAUCUCAAAAAAGAAAAAAAAAAACUUCUAGAAGUAGGUUGUUACUAGAGACUGGGGGAAAGAGAAUGGGGAGAUGAUGGUCAUAUGGUACAAAAUUCCAGUUUAGGCAAUGGGAAUAAGCUUUUGAGAUCUAUCGCAUAAAAAGUAUGUGAGGCGAUGAAUAUGUUAAUUAGCUUGAUUUAAUAAUUCUACAAUGUGUACAUAUAUCAAAACAUCACAUCAAACCCCCAAAAUAUAUAAAAUAUUUUUUCAGUUAAGAAAAUAAAACAGAAGGCGGGUGCAGUGGCUUAUUCCUGUAAUCCCAGCACUUUGGGAGGCCAAGGCAGGCGGAUCACCUGAGGUCAGGAAUUCAAGACCAGCCUGGCCAACAUGGCAAAACCCCAUCUCUGCUGAAAAUACAAAAAUUAGCCGAGUGUGGUGGCAGGUACCUGUAAUCCCAGCUACUCAGGAGACUGAGGCAGGAGAAUUGCUUGAACCCAGGAGGUGGAGGUUGCAGUGAGCCGAGGUCACGCCAUUGCACUCCAGCCUGGGCGACAGAGUGAGACUCCAUCAAAAAAAAAAAAAAAAAAGGAACCAAAAUGAAAGAUAUGGAACAAUGUGAAAAAUCUGGAUAUUGUUAUUUACCUUAUCAGUGCUUAAAACUGUCUAAUAACAAUUUUACAGAAUGAGACAUCUAACCAGGAUAAGAAGUAUGCAAAUAAAGGUGUUAUAAUGUGAAAGAGUAAUCUUAUUAGGGAUUCUCAUUGGUAGUGGUUUUAGAAACCAGAGUAGAGAAGAACAACUAUAGUUUGAUUUCAAAACACAAUGAUUCCAUGUUUAUUUUUAAUAAACAUAACUAAUUAAUUGCUGCAUGUAUGCGGGACUAAAAUAAGGUGUCAGUACCUCAUGCAAGAGCUUCAGAUGGCUUCACUGCUACAGCUUGCCUGUUUAUGUGGUUAGAAAUUGUUGUUCAGUGGUUUCAGUGGUGAGCAGUUCAUGAGCUUCUGAAAUGGUCCAAGAAUAGUGGCAAAUAGGUCCCUUCUUGUUGGUCAAGCGCUCAGGCAAUUUUUUAAAGGAUUGCUAAAGUAGUUCUGAAGCCCCUUGCCAUUUAGGGGGAUUUAGAAAAAAAGUCUACGUCAUAGAACUCUAUGUCCUAUGAUUUUGUUGUUGAAACUGGAACAUAAAAGAAAAGAGAGAGAGAAGAAGACAAGCAAAUGCCUAAACAGAGCUCAGGGAACAGCUUCAGGACAGGGAACUGGAGAUUAGUAAUCAAAUCAGUCCCUACCCACCAGGCUCAAGGCCUCACAAACUACGAUUUGUGACCAAUACACUCAUUCGCUCAAUUUCAGUCAGUGUCUGGGGUAUCAAGCUCUAGAAACCAGAAAUAAAGCCAGAAACAAAGGAAAAAGUUCUCAUUUCCAAUAAACUCAGUUACUGUUAAAACUUUAAGGACCGGCACAGUGGCUCACGCCUGUAAUCCCAGCACUUUGAGAGGCCAAGGCGGGUGGAU
ensembl:lncRNA